rnacentral:rRNA from 1 species
GAUGAACGCUGACAGAAUGCUUAACACAUGCAAGUCUACUUGAAUUUGGGUUUUUUAACUUAGAUUUGGGUGGCGGACGGGUGAGUAACGCGUAAAGAACUUGCCUCACAGCUAGGGACAACAUUUGGAAACGAAUGCUAAUACCUGAUAUCAUGAUUAUAAGGCAUCUUAGAAUUAUGAAAGCUAUAUGCGCUGUGAGAGAGCUUUGCGUCCCAUUAGCUAGUUGGAGAGGUAACGGCUCACCAAGGCGAUGAUGGGUAGCCGGCCUGAGAGGGUGAACGGCCACAAGGGGACUGAGACACGGCCCUUACUCCUACGGGAGGCAGCAGUGGGGAAUAUUGGACAAUGGACCAAGAGUCUGAUCCAGCAAUUCUGUGUGCACGAUGACGUUUUUCGGAAUGUAAAGUGCUUUCAGUUGGGAAGAAAAAAAUGACGGUACCAACAGAAGAAGUGACGGCUAAAUACGUG